UGAAAAAAUCGAUUUCCUCUUCCUUCUCCCAGAAACAACCAAUCAGAGCCAGGGGCGGGGCUCCGCGCUAGCUCUCUGUGACGCUGCAGCUAGCAAAGCUCAGCAGUUCGGAAAAUCCCGUCAUGAAUGCUAGGCUAGCUAGAGUAGCCACCGAUGACGUCGGAUAAGCGGCUUUCCUGUAACAGCAAGUUGUUUCUCCGCCAUUAGCAUAUGACCUUCAACGAAGAUGCAGCCUGUUCACAGCAGAAACGUCAAUGCCCACACCUGCUUGGGUGGCAAGUGUGAGGCAUCGCUGCCGAUUGGCUCCAUGGAGCCAGACAGAGAGACCGAUGAAGUGGGAGGACGGACAGAAACCCGGCAGGAUGCGAAAAACUGUUCUCCCUACAGACCGUCAGACACAUCUAACACAAAGAUAACCAAGUCUUUCCUGCUUCCCGUCUGACUCCAAAUAUCUGCACAGACCAGAGACGACUCGGCGACUCGAGGCUCCGGUGAGAGAGAAACGAGUCCGGUGGAUGUCUGAGACGAGUUUCUGAGUUUGAGCCGUUAAAGGCGCCGCCCUUCACCUGGUGACCCCAGCCGAGCCCAGCCGUUACCUAGCAACCCCAGCGGACUUCCUCUCGUUACCUAGCAACUCAAGCUGAGCUCCAACAGGACGAACCUUUGAGGGGGAAGAUUAAAGUGAUGCGCAGGUUGUUCUGACGGUGGCUCCCAUUCUGGAAAAGAAGGAACCAACUCUGGCAGAUUCAUAACAAGAUAGAAAAUGACUGAAGGAGGAUGAAAGUUGUGAAGCUCCAGUGGAGGCCUACAGAUGCCCUUUGACCUUUCUGCUGUGAUAAACCUGGCCAUUACGAUGGCGAGACGCCACCAUGGUUUCCGUGGCCAGAGAAGUGGGCCGAGGAAAAUCCCCUCCGUCGGCGUUUCAGGUCGCUUUCCCUUAAUCGUCUUAUCGGUCUGACUGAGCAAGACGUGGCAAACUCCAGAGAAUCCCUCCGUCUCUGUUUCUGUUUCCCUCGCCCCUCUCUCCCAAAGUUUUUCCUCUCUCUGGCUGGGCGGCCGCAGGUUUCCAAACAAACUAGCCGAAACAUGUUGUCUGUGCGUCCGUCUAUCCAGCCCUCCCGCUGGGCAACAAAGCUGCCAUCCACAAUGUAAGCAGGUGGCGCUGGCAUCCCAGGGAGAACGGGCAGAGCAUGUGGGCGUCACACCGUCGACGCCAAUCCAAAAUUCCCAGCUGACCUCCAAAAAACCGAGGCUACGGCUGCGCUCGCCAACCUCCGGCAAGUUCCUCCUCGUAUAUUCGGCUCUUGUUUUUGCUUGCCGUGAUUUCCAGUUAAAUAAAUUUUUGUUGUUUUCUUGCUGCGUGUCUCUGCCGGCGUGUUUGCUUUGUGGGGGUGCUGUUUAGCCGAGAGGGACCGGCAUCAGGCCGCGGGCCAGCCGCCUUCAGUUGGACGUUAAUGAACGGAACAGGAGUGGGCACAUCUGAUGAGGCUGGCCGGGCUGUCGACUGAUUUUCAUCUGGUGUGUGUGUGUGUGUGUGUGUGUGUGUCUGACAACAGGUGCAGGCCAGAUCUCUGUGCACUGACAAAAUACAGACUCUGCUGUGCCAACACAGGUGAUUUCCACCCAAGCCACACAAACACGCAGUCCAGUUUUCCUACAUUUGUUCCCCUGUUCUGAGGCUUUAAAAACAAGAAUUAAUGUUUGCACAGAUUCUGAUGCGGCAGACAAAGCAGAGGAAUCUUGGAAACAUUUUUCACAUAUUAAAAACAAUAAUCUUGGCUACGCUCACACAGCGGCUAAAUGCGAUUUUUGUCCGACUUUUUCAGCCCGGUUCCGAUCUUUUCUCUGUAAAACUA